AAUCUGUGAUGUUGACAUUUCUAAAUCAAUGUCUUAAAAUGCUCUCAUGCUUCGUGAAAACUCUCUCCCUUUAACUGUUUAAACAUAGAAAUCUCCAUUCUUAGCU
rfam:Gossypium raimondii Chr04_contig_302, whole genome shotgun sequence.